AAAUGUUUUGCUGAUUGGAGAGAAUGGAAUAGCGAGGGAAGAAAAUUGGUGCUAAAUUCUGAGCACUCCUGCUCAAACCCCUUUGGGGGGGGAGGACAUGGGAAGGAACCGGGAGCAGACAUUCCAGGAAUUCUGACUUAUAACCAAUAGCAGUGGUAGAGAAGCAGGCAGAGGUGCUGCCUCUGACCUGAAAGUACUGCUCGGAGGUGGACAUCUGCUAUGCAGCUCUGAAGUGGAAGGUCCUCGGUGUUCAGGCUGCUCUCCUUCACGUGUCACCUCCUGACACUGGGAGAUAUCCCAAGGCUGAAAAGGAAAGUGAAAGCCCUCUGCCAUGCCCGUUUCCCCAUAGCAAUGCUUGUUCACCUGGAGAGCUUGCACAGAGCAGUGGACUGGGAAGGCUCUGGCUUUCCAGAGGUCAAGCAGUUUAAGAAUCUUGGCAGGAUGAAAAAAAAGCAGGAUUCAUCCCCCUAAUUGCUCUGUCUCUCUGGCCACCACGUCAUCCUGCUUCGGCCCAAGUGCAAGCCAUGGAAACAGCUCUUAAUCCACCUCCUGCCAAUUCCUUAAUACCUGUGCUUUAUUCCUUCCCAUCGGUGAUUGGAUCAGCAGCUCUUUGGAAGUCGAAGUGGCACAAGUGCUUUGCUUUGGUCUCUCUCACAGUAAUUCGUUCCACGUUCUGUCCAAGACUGGAGUUCAAAAUACAAUGAGAGAACACAUCUGUGAAUUUUUCUGCUAUUCACGAAGGUACUCAACUUGCCCAACAGCCCCUCCGCCGUCACACGCUGUAUCUCAAGGCCUUCUGGGACUCCAUUUUUGAGCCAAAACUGUGCCCACGAGAGACGUCACCUCCUGCCUGAUGAGCCUUUUCCCCUUUCCUGGCCCUGCGGUGUGCCAGCGGAGCAGGUCAUGGGACAGCCUGCCCCAGACUGCACCCACCGCAUCUCCGUGCGGUCCUUUCUCGCCUCUGAUUCUUUUUUGGAGAGGCCAGAUUUUGACCAUAAAAGGGAAGAAUGGAAUGUUGGGCGACACGCCAUGCCCCGAUUGGCUGAGCACCUACCCGUGAUGGUUUCGGGGGAAAUAACCAGGUCGGAGUCAUUUUCCUCUCCCCCCACCCCGAGCCGAGAACGAAAACAAUGCGACCAAACCGUGUGGUUCACCAUUGAAACCAAGGCAGGACUUUUUGUGUCUGUGCCUCCUAUUGCUCUUGGUUCCACCUGCAUGAAACCGAGCCCUCGCUUCUGGGUGUGCACGGCAGCUCUGUUUCCCAUCCAACAUCUCUGUGGCCGCCACCGGUUGAUGCUAUCUUGGAGAUGAAUGGGAGCGACCUGGUGGCCACGUUGGCCAGGAACCACAACUGCCUCCAGCCAACCUGGCAGCCCUUCUGUUGGGAGAACCCGAGAUCCUCCUUCUUGUGGUUGUCCAUCCCAUUUCCACAACCAAAACCCGUCAGAACAAAGCGCCUUUGUGCUUGGACAUCCCUCCCACCCAGCUGCCUUGUGACUGCCCUCGUUAGAUCACUUCUGUGGCUAAAAUAGGACUUUACUCUUGUGAGUCAUUUGCCUGAACCUGCCACCAGCACUGACUUACAACCUUUAAUAAAAAAUGAUAAAGAAGCUGAGAGGGUUUCCUGGAAACAUUGUCAGCCUUGAGUUGGGAGCAGAUGCUGGCAGCGAGCAAAGUUCUUUUAAGCCAUAAAGGCAUUUUCCUGUUUAAUGAUUACCCUGAGAAAUCUUGAGGCUGAAUCAGGAUGUUUGUGAUCAGCUUCACCCUUCUGGGAAGGCCGCACCCAGAGAAAUUCUUCUCUCAUUGCCUUCACCCAGUCAGAACGGGGUGGUGGUGUGGGUAACGCUGGCCCUGGAGCCAUAAGCUGUUCCCAGUUGUCACCAAUUUCUUCCUGUUUGCCCUCCAUUUGGGGCAGCUCCGGUGCCAGUCCUACCAGGCUCUGAGCAAGCCCUGGUUGAGAAGAAAUUCUUCUAUUAGCAGUCAUCCCAAGGCAUAGGGUUUAUCCUACAAAAACUCUUCUAGACCUCCUGCUUGCAGGAAUCCUUUUUGCAAGGGAAACGUUCCCAGCGCUGGUUGUUCCAGUGCUCAUGGAAGCCUCCUUGGUACCCAGUGCAAAUCUUCUUCCCUAUUGCUCCUCCACGUCAGCGUUCUCCCUCUUUGUGGGGCAGCACUUUGCAGAUAAGCUCCAGAGACGUUUCACCAUCACCCACCUUUCCAUCAGGCCACUUGCUCUGCCCUCACCCAUGGGUACCAUUGCUCUCCCAUGGCAGCAGUGCCUUGCAUCACUUCACCACCUGCUGCAAUCCCUCUUGCUGGUGCUACCGCAGCGGCGAGCACUGAGACCUAUCGCAGCAUCACUGCUUGUCCCCACAAAACCAGAGGGGAACCAAAGCAUCUUACUCACUGGCAUCGGAGCAGUGCACCCCAUCACCUCCCUCCUGUUGGGCAGCGGUUUGGGAGAGGAGGAAGAAGUGGCUGUGCUCAUUCUGGGGCAGAGAGCUUGUUCCUGGUGUCAUCCUCCACCAUUGUGGGUUACCUGCAAUGCUUUGGUUUCGGGUUUUGGAGAGCCAAAGCCUGGAAGGAGCCUUUUUUGCAAGAUAAGGAUGAAGGUGGCACUCAGAGAGUUGUUAUCUGUGUGGCUCAGGGCUAUGCUGG
ensembl:lncRNA